rnacentral:rRNA from 1 species
UACGUAGGGUGCGAGCGUUGUCCGGAAUUACUGGGCGUAAAGAGCUCGUAGGUGGUUUGUCGCGUCGUCUGUGAAAUCCCGGGGCUUAACUUCGGGCGUGCAGGCGAUACGGGCAUAACUUGAGUGCUGUAGGGGAGACUGGAAUUCCUGGUGUAGCGGUGAAAUGCGCAGAUAUCAGGAGGAACACCGAUGGCGAAGGCAGGUCUCUGGGCAGUUACUGACGCUGAGGAGCGAAAGCAUGGGUAGCGAACAGGAUUAGA